GAUUGCAAUGUUCUAAAUUUUGAAAAGGGUUUGGGUUACACAGGUGUAUGAAUUUGGGAAAAAUUAGCAAAUUUAUACUUAAUAUUUGUGCAUUACACUGCAUGUGAAUGUACCUUAAAAAUGAAAAAAAUGAAACCAUACUAAACCCUACUUAAUGAUAUGCCUUUUGAAGUAUUAGGGGGAUAUAUACUGAUGUCUGCAAUUUAUUUUGAAAAGCAUCAUAAAAAUAACAUGGAUGGGUAAGUAAUAAAACAUGUAGAAUUAGAAUCCAUGUGGUUGGUAUUUGGGUAUUUACUGUAAAAUUCUCUCAAUUUUGCUGUAUGUUUGAAAAUUUUUAUAAUAAAACGAUUAGGAAAAGCCAGUUGGUCUUAUCUUUCUAUUAUCUAUCCUUGGCCUGAAAUAAAUUAUUCUUUCUAUAGGAUAGAGACUCUAUAGAAACACAGGGACUGGAAAUUAGCCCUGCAUAAUCCCUGGGAUUCUAAAAGAGAGCCAAGAGCAACAAACCAUGAAGAAGCAGAACCAACUACACAUUCCACCAGUAAUUUCAGAGGCAGCCUGAAUACAUUCCAUCAACGAUUCCCACUAUGCAGCUUCAGAGAUGUUUAAAUGGGAUCAAGGAGAUGGUGUGAUGAUGUAGUGCCAAGGAUGGCCUCCAAUCUGAAAAGCAUUCUCCAGGGAGGACACCUCAAAGAGCAGUGGUGGUGUAUCUGCAGAGAUGGACAAAAGGAAUGUAUUAGCUC